rnacentral:rRNA from 1 species
CAGUAGCCGCGGUAAUACGUAGGUGGCAAGCGUUGUCCGGAAUUAUUGGGCGUAAAGGGCUCGCAGGCGGUUUCUUAAGUCUGAUGUGAAAGCCCCCGGUUUAACCGGGGAGGGUCAUUGGAAACUGGGAAACUUGAGUGCAGAAGAGGAGAGUGGAAUUCCACGUGUAGCGGCGAAAUGCGUAGAGAUGUGGAGGAACACCAGUGGCGAAGGCGACUCUCUGGUCUGUAACUGACGCUGAGGAGCGAAAGCGUGGGGAGCGGACAGGAUUAGAUACCCGGGUAGUCCCUGUCUCUUAUAC